CAGGGAGACAAUUAAUUGAUUGUGAUGUCUAAGUAUUUUAUUCUUAGGCCGCAAUCCUGUCACCUUAAGGUCGAUCGGUACCUCAGAUUUAUCUAUUAAUUUUAUAAUUAAUUUUUCAAUUUCAGUUCCUA
rnacentral:misc_RNA from 1 species